GCACCCGUAGCUCAGCUGGAUAGAGCGUUGGCCUCCGGAGCCAAAGGUCAGAGGUUCGAAUCCCCUCGGGUGCACCA
rnacentral:tRNA from 2 species